rnacentral:rRNA from 1 species
CCUACGGGUGGCAGCAGUGAGGAAUAUUGGUCAAUGGACGAGAGUCUGAACCAGCCAAGUAGCGUGAAGGAUGACUGCCCUAUGGGUUGUAAACUUCUUUUAUAUGGGAAUAAAAUGUUCCACGUGUGGGAUUUUGUAUGUACCAUAUGAAUAAAGAUCGGCUAACUCCGUGCCAGCAGCCGCGGUAAUACGGAGGAUCCGAGCGUUAUCCGGAUUUAUUGGGUGUAAAGGGAGCGUAGGUGGAUUGUUAAGUCAGUUGUGAAAGUUUGCGGCUCAACCGUAAAAUUGCAGUUGAAACUGGCAGUCUUGAGUACAGUAGAGGUGGGUGGAAUUCGUGGUGUAGCGGUGAAAUGCUUAGAUAUCACGAAGAACUCCGAUUGCGAAGGCAGUUCACUGGACUGCAACUGACACUGAGGCUCGAAAGUGUGGGUAUCAAACAGGAUUAGAUACCCCAGUAGUC